rnacentral:rRNA from 1 species
CCACGGGGGGCAGCAGUGGGGAAUAUUGGACAAUGGGGGGAACCCUGAUCCAGCCAUGCCGCGUGUGUGAAGAAGGCCCUCGGGUUGUAAAGCACUUUCAGUGAGGAAGAACGCCUGGUGGUUAAUACCCAUCAGGAAAGACAUCACUCACAGAAGAAGCACCGGCUAACUCCGUGCCAGCAGCCGCGGUAAUACGGAGGGUGCGAGCGUUAAUCGGAAUUACUGGGCGUAAAGCGCGCGUAGGUGGCUUGAUAAGCCGGUUGUGAAAGCCCCGGGCUCAACCUGGGAACGGCAUCCGGAACUGUCAAGCUAGAGUGCAGGAGAGGAAGGUAGAAUUCCCGGUGUAGCGGUGAAAUGCGUAGAGAUCGGGAGGAAUACCAGUGGCGAAGGCGGCCUUCUGGACUGACACUGACACUGAGGUGCGAAAGCGUGGGUAGCAAACAGGAUUAGAUACCCUUGUAGUC